UAUGUAGGGGGCAAGCGUUGUCCGGAUUUAUUGGGCGUAAAGAGCGUGUAGGCGGCUAGGUAGGUCCGUUGUGAAAACUCGAGGCUCAACCUCGAGACGUCGAUGGAAACCAUCUAGCUAGAGUCCGGAAGAGGAGAGUGGAAUUCCUGGUGUAGCGGUGAAAUGCGCAGAUAUCAGGAAGAACACCCGUGGCGAAGGCGGCUCUCUGGGCCGAUACUGACGCUGAGGAGCGAAAGCAUGGGGAGCGAACAGG
rnacentral:rRNA from 1 species